rnacentral:rRNA from 1 species
GACUAUGGCCAUGCUACUCUGAACAAGCCCGAUCCCAUCUGAUCUUGGAAGCUAAGCAGAUCAGGCCUGGUUAGUACUUGGAUGGGAGACCAUCUAGGAAGACCAGGUGCUGCAGGUA